rnacentral:rRNA from 1 species
UAGGGAAUCUUCGGCAAUGGACGGAAGUCUGACCGAGCAACGCCGCGUGAGUGAAGAAGGUUUUCGGAUCGUAAAGCUCUGUUGUUAGAUAAGAACGUUGGUAGGAGUGGAAAAUCUACCAAGUGACGGUAACUAACCAGAAAGGGACGGCUAACUACGUGCCAGCAGCCGCGGUAAUACGUAGGUCCCGAGCGUUGUCCGGAUUUAUUGGGCGUAAAGCGAGCGCAGGCGGUUCUUUAAGUCUGAAGUUAAAGGCAGUGGCUUAACCAUUGUACGCUUUGGAAACUGGAGGACUUGAGUGCAGAAGGGGAGAGUGGAAUUCCAUGUGUAAGGGUGAAAUGCGUAGAUAUAUGGAGGAACACCGGUGGCGAAAGCGGAUCUCUGGUCUGUAACUGACGCUGAGGCUCGAAAGCGUGGGGAGCAAACAGG